GACGUAGGGCGCGAGCGUUGUCCGGAUUUAUUGGGCGUAAAGAGCUCGUAGGCGGCUUGUCGCGUCGUCCGUGAAAACCUGGGGCUCAACCCCAGGCUUGCGGUCGAUACGGGCAGGCUAGAGUUCGGUAGGGGAGACUGGAAUUCCUGGUGUAGCGGUGAAAUGCGCAGAUAUCAGGAGGAACACCGGUGGCGAAGGCGGGUCUCUGGGCCGAUACUGACGCUGAGGAGCGAAAGCGUGGGGAGCGAACAGG
rnacentral:rRNA from 1 species